rnacentral:misc_RNA from 1 species
GAUGAAGAACGUAGCGAAAUGCGAUAAGUAGUGUGAAUUGCAGAAUUCAGUGAAUCAUCGAAUCUUUGAACGCACAUUGCGCCCUCUGGUAUUCCGGAGGGCAUGCCUGUUCGAGCGUCAUUAUCACCCCUCAAGCCCGGCUUGUUGUUGGAUGCAGCGCUUAUCCCGCUCCUCCCAAAGAUAAUGACGGCGUCUGCGACGACUCCUGUACACUGAGCUUUCGGGCACGUACACGGCUAGAAGUCCAGACCCGGUCGCCGUCCCCCCCGCGGGGACACCCAUUACCACAAGGUUGACCUCGGAUCAGGUAGGAAUACCCGCUGAACUUAAGCAUAUCAAUAGCGGAGGA